rnacentral:tRNA from 1 species
GGUGGGGUGGCGGAGUUCGGCUGAACGCACCAGUCUUGAAAACUGGCAAGGGCGCAAGUCCUUCGUGGGUUCAAAUCCCACCCCCACCGCCA